GAGCUUUAACAGCACAACCGGGCUCCCUGUGAUUACAUCACUGCUGGGAGGAAGUGACUGCACGUCACUCCUCCCAGCAAUCAGACAGAGCCCACGCGGGAGGAAGCAGGCAGGAGGAGGGAGUCAGAGUGGGAACUCUGACUCCCAUCAGGCUGAGCCCCCACUGGACCCCAGGGAAAGUCACCAAAGGUAAGAAACAUUUUGUGUGUGUGUGUGUCUAUAUAUGUGUGUAUGUGUGUUUGUCUCUGUAUGUAUGUGUGUGUGUCUCUGUAUGUGUGUG